rnacentral:rRNA from 1 species
GUGCCAGCCGCCGCGGUAAGACGAACCGUGCGAACGUUGUUCGGAUUCACUGGGCUUAAAGGGCGCGUAGGCGGCUUGCCAAGUCAGGGGUGAAAUCUUUCGGCUCAACCGGAAAAGUGCUUCUGAUACUGGCGGGCUGGAGGAGGGUAGGGGCGGAUGGAACUUCCGGUGGAGCGGUGAAAUGCGUAGAUAUCGGAAGGAACGCCGGUGGCGAAAGCGAUCCGCUGGACCCUUUCUGACGCUGAGGCGCGAAAGCCAGGGGAGCAAACGGGAUUAGAUACCCCUGUAGUCC